rnacentral:rRNA from 1 species
AUUGAACGCUGGCGGCAGGCUUAACACAUGCAAGUCGAGCGAGCGGCGGACGGGUGAGUAAUGUCUGGGAAACUGCCUGAUGGAGGGGGAUAACUACUGGAAACGGUAGCUAAUACCGCAUACUAUCGGAUGAACCCAUAUGGGAUUAGCUAGUAGGUGGGGUAAAGGCUCACCUAGGCGACGAUCUCUAGCUGGUCUGAGAGGAUGAUCAGCCACACUGGGACUGAGACACGGUCCAGACUCCUACGGGAGGCAGCAGUGGGGAAUAUUGCACAAUGGGCGCAAGCCUGAUGCAGCCAUGCCGCGUGUAUGAAGAAGGCCUUCGGGUUGUAAAGUACUUUCAGCGAGGAGGCGUUACUCGCAGAAGAAGCACCGGCUAACUCCGUGCCAGCAGCCGCGGUAAUUC